rnacentral:rRNA from 1 species
AACGAACGCUGGCGGCAUGCCUAACACAUGCAAGUCGAACGAGACCUUUGGGUCUAGUGGCGCACGGGUGCGUAACGCGUGGGAAUCUGCCCUUGGGUUCGGAAUAACAGUGAGAAAUUGCUGCUAAUACCGGAUGAUGUCUUCGGACCAAAGAUUUAUCGCCCAGGGAUGAGCCCGCGUAGGAUUAGCUAGUUGGUGGGGUAAUGGCCUACCAAGGCGACGAUCCUUAGCUGGUCUGAGAGGAUGAUCAGCCACACUGGGACUGAGACACGGCCCAGACUCCUACGGGAGGCAGCAGUGGGGAAUAUUGGACAAUGGGAGCAAGCCUGAUCCAGCAAUGCCGCGUGAGUGAUGAAGGCCUUAGGGUUGUAAAGCUCUUUUACCAGGGAUGAUAAUGACAGUACCUGGAGAAUAAGCUCCGGCUAACUCCGUG